AAAAUUCAUCGACUUUAUAAGUCGUGAGGGUUCAAGUCCCUUUAUCCCCA
rnacentral:tRNA from 1 species